UUAUUAACGACAGUGUUUGGGAAUCCCAUAAUAGUCUCCUCAUCUAUUCUUUACUUUUUCAGUUCUUCCGUUGUUUUGUUUUCGGAUUCUGAAUAAAGUCCAUUUUCCUCAUUUUUCUUCAAACUGUGCCUCUUGUCAUCUCCGAUGGUGAGUCAACUUUCCCAUUAUGCAGAUUUCUUCUAUAAUCUUCAUCCUUUUCCUUAAUUUAAUUAAAAUGACAAAGAUAAAGUACCGUGUAGUUUGUUAGGACAUCGUAUCCCAAUAGCUUCUUAUAUUCACAUAUUUUCCGUAUUUUAAUGGAACUAUUCUGAGGCUUUAGGCUCCAAACGAACAGAUGAAACUGAUCCAGAUCCAGGUUAUUGACAAAGUGAAUAGAAUGUUUGUUUCUUUAUUAUUUAUUCAUUCUAUUAUCGGUCUGGAUGAUUAUGUUAUCUAGAAAGUCGUACAAUGUCACAUUUAGCAGAAACGACAUCCAGUUUUGCUUAAAAACAGCAGAACAAACAAAACUAAUCACUCAUGCUACAGAUAAAAACAAUUUUAGCCACAUCAGUAGCUGAUCACAGUGUUAGCUAACUGCAGUCUUACUUUUGAGCUAACCCCGCCUUCGCACAUAGGUAGCUGGGAUUGGCUCCAGCACCCCCCCCCCACCCACCCCCAGACCCUAGUUAGGGGAAAGCAGUUCAGAAGACGACUGACAUUUGAGCUAAUGGCAACAUUAGCUAACCACAACAUUAGCUAAUCAAAGCUAUUCUGAUUAAUGCCAGAGUAUGUUUGAAUUACCCACAACAUUAGAUGACCACAGUGUUAGCUAACCAUAAUUUUACUAAAGACCGAAUACCUUUGAGCUAACCACAACAUUAGCUAACUGCAGCAUUAGCUAAUCAAAGGUAUUCUGACUGAAAACAGUCUAUAUUUUAUUAUUUUAUUCAUUUUAUUGUUACUUUUUUUAUCAGUCUUUUCUAUUCUAUUCUUUGAACUAACAUUAAUGUUAGCUAACAGAAUUAGACCAAAUACUUUUAGCUAACGCUUUAGUUAGUAAAUGUUGUGGUUAGCUCAAUCAAACGUAUUCUGACUGAAAACAGAGUAUAUUUUAUUAUUUUAUUCAUCUUAUUAUUAUGUUAUUUUCCUACCACAAUGAUAAUAAAGUCAAUUUUAUCCUAUUCUUUGAACUAACAUUAAUGUUAGCUAACUACAGCAUUAGCUAACCAUGACUAAAAACUACAAAUCUUUGCGCUAACAAUAGCUUUAUCGAAUCACGUUACUAAAGACAGAAUACAUUUGCGCUAAGUACUAUACUUGCUAGCUAUUGUAGCUAGCUAACAGGUUUAUUUAGCAAAACCCUAUUGAUAUUAACAUGCUAAUACUCACUGGUUUGAAUUUGUCAGACAUUAGUGUAUGUCCUUUUUUUUAGAUUGCUUAAAAUA